rnacentral:rRNA from 1 species
UACGUAGGGUGCGAGCGUUGUCCGGAAUUAUUGGGCGUAAAGAGCUCGUAGGCGGUUCGUCGCGUCGGCUGUGAAAACCCGGAGCUCAACUCCGGGCCUGCAGUCGAUACGGGCGGACUCGAGUUCGGCAGGGGAGACUGGAAUUCCUGGUGUAGCGGUGAAAUGCGCAGAUAUCAGGAGGAACACCGGUGGCGAAGGCGGGUCUCUGGGCCACUACUGACGCUGAGAAGCGAAAGCGUGGGGAGCGAACAGG